rnacentral:ncRNA from 2 species
AUGAAUGGCCCUGGUACUGGUUCUUCCGGCGGUCGCCGCCGGAAGCUAAGAGGGAAUCCGGUGAGCCGCGUCGCGCGGCGAGACCGGAGCUGUCCCCGCAACUGUGAGCGGUGAGCCGUUCCGUCAUUUCCUGCCACUGGCGCCCAACGGCGCUGGGAAGGCCGGACGGACCGGUGAUGACCCGCAAGCCAGGAGACCUGCCAGCGCCAAAACGAAACG